GGGGGUGAAGCUCAGUUGGUAGGGUGCUUGCCUCAUAUGCUUGAAGCCCUGGUUUCAAUCCCUGGCACCAUCA
rnacentral:tRNA from 1 species